rnacentral:rRNA from 1 species
CCUACGGGGGGCAGCAGUGAGGAAUAUUGGUCAAUGGACGAGAGUCUGAACCAGCCAAGUAGCGUGAAGGAUGACUGCCCUAUGGGUUGUAAACUUCUUUUAUAUGGGAAUAAAAUGUUCCACGUGUGGGAUUUUGUAUGUACCAUAUGAAUAAGGAUCGGCUAACUCCGUGCCAGCAGCCGCGGUAAUACGGAGGAUCUGAGCGUUAUCCGGAUUUAUUGGGUUUAAAGGGAGCGUAGGUGGAUUGUUAAGUCAGUUGUGAAAGUUUGCGGCUCAACCGUAAAAUUGCAGUUGAAACUGGCAGUCUUGAGUACAGUAGAGGUGGGCGGAAUUCGUGGUGUAGCGGUGAAAUGCUUAGAUAUCACGAAGAACUCCGAUUGCGAAGGCAGUUCACUGGACUGCAACUGACACUGAGGCUCGAAAGUGUGGGUAUCAAACAGGAUUAGAUACCCUUGUAGUC